rnacentral:rRNA from 1 species
GUCCACGCUGUAAACGAUGGGCACUAGGUGUCCGGGUAUUGACCCCCUGGGUGCCGCAGCUAACGCAUUAAGUGCCCCGCCUGGGGAGUACGGUCGCAAGAUUAAACUCAAAGGAAUUGACGGGGCCCGCACAAGCGGUGGAGCAUGUGGUUCAAUUCGACGCAACGCGAAGAACCUUACCUGGGCUAGACAACGGUGGACAGCCCUAGAAAUAGGGUCUUCCCUUCGGGGACUACCGGUUCAGGUGCUGCAUGGCUGUCGU